GAUGAACGCUAGCGGCAGGCUUAAUACAUGCAAGUCGUGGGGCAGCAGGUUUGUAGCAAUACAGAUGCUGGCGACCGGCAAACGGGUGCGGAACACGUACAGAACCUUCCUUGAGCGGGGAAUAGCCCAGAGAAAUUUGGAUUAAUACCCCAUAGUAUAAUGAAGUGGCAUCACUUUAUUAUUAAAGAUUUAUCACUCGAAGAUGGCUGUGCGGCUGAUUAGGUAGUUGGCGGGGUAAAGGCCCACCAAGCCUGCGAUCAGUAACUGGUGUGAGAGCACGACCAGUCACACGGGCACUGAGACACGGGCCCGACUCCUACGGGAGGCAGCAGUAAGGAUAUUGGUCAAUGGAGGCAACUCUGAACCAGCCAUGCCGCGUGGAGGAUGAAGGUCCUCUGGAUUGUAAACUUCUUUUAUAUGGGACGAAAAAAGGCUUUUCUAAGUCGUCUGACGGUACCAUAUGAAUAAGCACCGGCUAACUCCGUGCCAGCAGCCGCGGU
rnacentral:rRNA from 1 species